ACAUGAAUUACAUCAAGAAAUGAAUGGUAAUGAGCAAUUGAAAAUAUGAUAAAUUUUGAAAAAGUUUUCCUUCUACAAUUGAAUGAUGGUAAAAGAGCUGUUUUAGAAUACCGUUUCAUUUUGAAUCAAGUUAACCAGUGUGAUUCAAUUCACUAUUAUUAACUAAAGCGAGCUAUGAAUAAACAUUAAUUCGCAUAAUUUCUUCAAAAUGAUAAGAAGCUCUCCUACACUAUUUGUGCUUCAAUAAUGCAACAAUUUCAGUAUAACUGAGGUCAUUUAUGCAGUGUGUUCGGUGAGAAAUAUCCGUAUUUCUUAUUUCAAACGCUAAAAAAUUGUCCCUCCCCUGACUCAACCAAUCGAGAAUUUUUUUUCAUUCACCGAUAUUUUUUAUUCCUACAUUCUCUAUGGAUUAUGGUAAUAAAAGUGAGUACUCCACGUGCGGUGAACUCGCGCCUAAUGGAGAAGAGUGGUACAGGUGCAGAGGAUGUAAUUUUUAAGUACAUGCAUUAUGCAGUAGAACAGAUUCUGCUGAAGAUUGCAUAUGUUGAUGGCUGAUUCUACAUCUUUUUUUUUAAAUACUAAAUCUAAAAUGCACCUUAUUACUUUCUUUAUGCUAAUAUUAUUAAUAUGUUGCAGGAAAUAGGGAUUCAGGGGAACUGUAGAAGAAAAUGAUAAUUUUGAUAAAAAAUAGAUUUAUACUUUAAUAUAUACUUACGGCAAUACGAUAACUCCGUAUGAACCAACAAAACUAAAAAAAAAAUGUAAACACUGAAGUAUUGAGAAGUGGCGGGAAA